UACGGAGGGUGCAAGCGUUAUCCGGAUUUACUGGGUUUAAAGGGUGCGUAGGCGGGCCUUUAAGUCAGUGGUGAAAUCUCCCCGCUCAACGGGGAAACUGCCAUUGAUACUAUUGGUCUUGAAUUUAGUUGAGGUGGGCGGAAUGUGUCGUGUAGCGGUGAAAUGCUUAGAUAUGACACAGAACACCGGUGGCGAAGGCGGCAUCCUGGACCGGUAUUGACGCUGAGGCGCGAAAGCUAGGGGAGCAAACGGG
rnacentral:rRNA from 1 species